UACGAAGGGGGCGAGCGUUGUUCGGAUUUACUGGGCGUAAAGGGCGCGUAGGCGGUCAGCACAAGUCAGUUGUGAAAUCUCCGGGCUUAACUCGGAAAGGUCAACUGAUACUGUGCGACUAGAGUGCAGAAGGGGCAACUGGAAUUCUCGGUGUAGCGGUGAAAUGCGCAGAUAUCAGGAGGAACACCGGUGGCGAAGGCGGGUCUCUGGGCAACAACUGACGCUGAGGAGCGAAAGCGUGGGGAGCGAACAGG
rnacentral:rRNA from 1 species